AGUGGCAGCCAAUCUUGAGGGAGCCAAGAGAACCCUAGAGCGCUCACUGAGGCACUGACACUAAUUCGCAUGGCACUGAUACGAAGAGGAAGCAUAUUGAUUCUCCUUCUUGUCGUUGCUAUGACAAAAUACACAGCAAAAGCAACUUAAAGAAGACAGAAAGUGUUUAUUUUGACCCAUCCUUUGAGCUGGUACCAUCCAUCAAGGCAGGGAAAGCACAGCAGCUGGAGUGUGAGAGGUGCUCCAGAGAGAGUCUCUGCCAACCUCUUAGCCAUCAGUGAGCAAUGGGGACCAUCACUGUGCAGGAUCCACCUUGGAAGGGCCCAUUCAGUUGAACCUCCAGUGAAUUCCAACCCCUGCCACCACUUCACCAGUCUCACAGAACCCUGGACUGCACUGACUCGUGCUAAGACUCCACAUCUGACAGUUUGCCCAAAGGAAAAGAAAGGUUCAAAGACAAA